rnacentral:rRNA from 1 species
AUUGAACGCUGGCGGAAUGCUUUACACAUGCAAGUCGAGCGGCAGCGCGGGGCAACCUGGCGGCGAGCGGCGAACGGGUGAGUAACAUAUCGGAACGUACCCCGUCGUGGGGGAUAACUAUCCGAAAGGAUAGCUAAUACCGCAUACGACCUGAGGGUGAAAGUGGGGGAUCGCAAGACCUCUCGCGAUGGGAGCGGCCGAUAUCGGAUUAGCUAGUUGGUGGGGUAAAGGCCUACCAAGGCGACGAUCCGUAGCUGGUCUGAGAGGACGACCAGCCACACUGGAACUGAGACACGGUCCAGACUCCUACGGGAGGCAGCAGUGGGGAAUUUUGGACAAUGGGGGCAACCCUGAUCCAGCCAUUCCGCGUGAGUGAAGAAGGCCU